GAUGAAGAACGCAGCAAAAUGCGAUAAGUAAUGUGAAUUGCAGAAUUCAGUGAAUCAUCGAAUCUUUGAACGCACAUUGCGCCCGCCAGUAUUCUGGCGGGCAUGCCUGUUCGAGCGUCAUUUCAACCCUCAAGCACAGCUUGGUGUUGGGACUCGCGUUAAUUCGCGUUCCUCAAAUUGAUUGGCGGUCACGUCGAGCUUCCAUAGCGUAGUAGUAAAACCCUCGUUACUGGUAAUCGUCGCGGCCACGCCGUUAAACCCCAACUUCUGAAUGUUGACCUUGGAUCAGGUAGGAAUACCCGCUGAACUUAAGCAUAUCAAUAAGCGGAGGA
rnacentral:misc_RNA from 1 species